AUGUGCGGCUCAAGAUCGCGUGCGAGCGAGCAAAUUCAAAGCCGGGAAGGCUUGACAUCCGAGCUCAGUGACUGUCCAGACCAGGAGCAGCCAGAGGAAGCGGCGUCCAAUUCCGGUGGUCCAUGCAUCGGAGGUGGGGUUGCACGGGAGAAGGUUCUCCCUUCUGCCUCCUGCUCCAACGUCCAUUCACGGCAGCGUUUGGGUGAGUGCUCUGGCAAUUUGUUUUCUCCAUUUCUCCAUCCAGAUAACAUGCAUACUUAUCUAUGUCCCGUCAUGCAUUCAUUUGAUCUGUUAUUGUGA
rnacentral:rRNA from 1 species